UGAGUGGCGAACGGGUGAGUAACACGUGGGUAACCUGCCCAGAAGUAGGGGAUAACACCUGGAAACAGAUGCUAAUACCGUAUAACAGAGAAAACCGCAUGGUUUUCUUUUAAAAGAUGGCUCUGCUAUCACUUCUGGAUGGACCCGCGGCGUAUUAGCUAGUUGGUGAGGUAAAGGCUCACCAAGGCAGUGAUACGUAGCCGACCUGAGAGGGUAAUCGGCCACAUUGGGACUGAGACACGGCCCAGACUCCUACGGGAGGCAGCAGUAGGGAAUCUUCCACAAUGGACGCAAGUCUGAUGGAGCAACGCCGCGUGAGUG
rnacentral:rRNA from 1 species